GUAUUUUUACGCUUUCCGAAAGUCUCGCAACAUCCCGCGUGCAUGGAUCACGCAAUCCUGCACGGAAAACCAUUCGGUAUUCCUUUAUUGCAACUUUUUUGUACCUUACUUGGUUUUCGGAAUAUUUUGACCAAAAACAGUCCGCCAUUUUGGUAUUAUAAUUGCCUAAUUAAUCGAGUUUUUGAUGACGUCACAAGCAGGGUAAAGUUGUUAAAACGUUUUCAUGUGGGACUAAAGUUCUUCAAAACGUUUCUUAAAAUGUUGUGAGUUAAAUUGAGUACUAAAACGACUUCGGAAAAUCGAGUUUCAUAUUGAUAAUGACACGUGGUUUGCAAGAUAAAAAUUUCGCUUUUUACCUUAAAAUGGCGGAAUGCACUCUGCUUUUGAUAAAAAAAGGCGAUUUUAAUAUUUCGAAAACCAAGCAAGAUACGGAAUAAUUGUAAAGGAAGUUUAUAUAUAAUUUUAAAUGUUCUUUCAAAUAAGACACAAACUUAAUUUGUAUUGCCAUAUCCCUUUAAUGCUUGUAAGCAGAUGAAAACGAAAAAGGUGUCUAGACCAAGAUAAAUUUGGAGGCGUCGUGUAAUGUUAUGGAAGGCAUGUGCAAAUUUGAAAUCACCAUUGAAUGUGAAUUAUAUUCGACCGUAUUCC